rnacentral:misc_RNA from 1 species
AGAGAGAGAGAGAGAGAAUUGCUAGAAAGAGUAGAAGCCAAAAACCCCUACAUGAAAUAAGUUUUCAUACAGAUUGCAAAUGGAUGUAAUAAGAUGGUAACUUCAUAUACUUUGUAGCAUUAUAGCACAUAAAUACUAGAAAAUGGGCUAGUCAAAGAUACAGAGAUACUUCAGUCUAAUUAUCUAAAAUCAAAUUAUAACCAUAAGAAAGACUUGGCCCAAAAAUCACACCACUACCAAGUAUCAUUAUAUCAAGUCCAGCACCAUUGCUUAUGCCAAAUCAAAAAACAUAGUGCAUAUUGGAUAAUAAAAUAAAGAAAUCUAAAAGAUAAAAGUAAAAUAACUUUCCAGAACUUAAAAGCAGAUCCCACCUUUGUUAACAUGAUCACAACAAA